UUUCGAUUUGCAUAAUAUUCUAAGAUUGCUCGAUGACUAAUUUUGAUAUUGUAGAGGAACAAGGACUUGUCAUCCUUCUCUCACGAGGCAGCAAGCACGUACUUUCGGUUUACUGUUAGGGUGAUAAAUGUGGUUUAGAAUUGAGUAGGUGGUAAACACAUCAUCCCCGAGAACGGGCUGCUCGCUAGUUGGCCGAUGUUCCAGAAUAUUAACUUUCGUCUACGAUGCCACAGGCUACUUUCAUGCGUACGAUGUCAGUAACUUUUCCAUCUCUCCGCCUCAGUAUAUACAAAAACAAUGCGAUCGUUUCUAGGAGGUAUUAUUACAUUUAACAGUGCAGCCCAUAGCCAACUUUCCAGUGAGAUGGGGCGGACUAGGCUCCUGGCUGAUCUACAGAAAAAGACCAUUGCCGUCAGCACAAAAGACUUGUCUUCUUAAAGUGGAUUCUGGCUCCAAAGCAAAUGUGA